rnacentral:rRNA from 1 species
ACGGUCCUAAGGUAGCGAAAUUCCUUGUCGGGUAAGUUCCGACCUGCACGAAUGGCAUAAUGAUGGCCAGGCUGUCUCCACCCGAGACUCAGUGAAAUUGAAAUCGCCGUGAAGAUGCGGUGUACCCGCGGCUAGACGGAAAGACCCCGUGAACCUUUACUAUAGCUUGACACUGAACAUUGAAUUUUGAUGUGUAGGAUAGGUGGGAGACUUUGAAGUAGUCACGCCAGUGAUUAUGGAGUCGUCCUUGAAAUACCACCCUUUAACGUUUGAUGUUCUAACGAAGAUUGCGAAACGCGGUCUCGGACAGUGUCUGGUGGGUAGUUUGACUGGGGCGGUCUCCUCCCAAAGCGUAACGGAGGAGCACGAAGGUUUGCUAAUCACGGUCGGACAUCGUGAGGUUAGUGCAAUGGUAUAAGCAAGCUUAACUGCGAGACAGACAAGUCGAGCAGGUACGAAAGUAGGUCAUAGUGAUCCGGUGGUUCUGCAUGGAAGGGCCAUCGCUCAACGGAUAAAAGGUACUCCGGGGAUAACAGGCUGAUACCGCCCAAGAGUUCAUAUCGACGGCGGUGUUUGGCACCUCGAUGUCGGCUCAUCUCAUCCUGGGGCUGUAGCCGGUCCCAAGGGUAUGGCUGUUCGCCAUUUAAAGAGGUACGUGAGCUGGGUUUAAAACGUCGUGAGACAGUUUGGUCCCUAUCUGCUGUGGGCGUUGGAGAUUUGACGGGGGCUGCUCCUAGUACGAGAGGACCGGAGUGGACACACCUCUGGUGUACCUGUUGUCACGCCAGUGGCAUCGCAGGGUAGCUAAGUGUGGAAGAGAUAACCGCUGAAAGCAUCUAAGCGGGAAACUUGCCUGAAGAUGAGAUCUCCCUGGGGACUCGAUCCCCCUGAAGGGUCGUCCAAGACCAGGACGUUGAUAGGCCGGGUGUGGAAGCGCAGUAAUGCGUGCAGCUAACCGGUACUAAUUGCCCGUGAGGCUUGACCCU